rnacentral:miRNA from 1 species
UUGCACAUUCCCCAGCCUGA